rnacentral:misc_RNA from 1 species
ACUUUUAUUCAUAAGUACUUCCCUUAAACCCUUUCCUUAUAGCCACGGAUGGAGCACAAGUGUUACGCUUGUGCAACAAGGGGCGCGCCACCGAUUUCCAGCCGGUGCGCUCUGUGUGCGAGCCGCGUGUGCGUGUGCACCUGUGUGAGCACCUGUGUGUUUAUGUGUGCGAGCCGUGCUGCAGGCCUGUACGUGAUGAGAAUUCAAGCUUAGGACACCUUUGGAUGCGGCGCGUGCUGCAGGUGAAAAUAGCGAGUUUGUUAUACAGUCGAUUCGUACUCUGACGGCCCGUGGUGCUGCCGGUGUACGUAGGCUUGGGUGCGCUCUGCGUUGGCGGCUGUGACGAUAACCCAGUUACGACGGCCUUAUGACUACGAUCCCGGCUAUGGGUGGAGCACAAGUGUUACGCUUGUGCAACAAGGGGCGCGCCACCGAUUUCCAGCCGGUGCGCUCUGUGUGCGAGCCGCGUGUGCGUGUGCACCUGUGUGAGCACCUGUGUGUUUAUGUGUGCGAGCCGUGCUGCAGGCCUGUACGUGAUGAGAAUUCAAGCUUAGGACACCUUUGGAUGCGGCGCGUGCUGCAGGUGAAAAUAGCGAGUUUGUUAUACAGUCGAUUCGUACUCUGACGGCCCGUGGUGCUGCCGGUGUACGUAGGCUUGGGUGCGCUCUGCGUUGGCGGCUGUGACGAUAACCCAGUUACGACGGCCUUAUGACUACGAUCCCGGCUAUGGGUGGAGCACAAGUGUUACGCUUGUGCAACAAGGGGCGCGCCACCGAUUUCCAGCCGGUGCGCUCUGUGUGCGAGCCGCGUGUGCGUGUGCACCUGUGUGAGCACCUGUGUGUUUAUGUGUGCGAGCCGUGCUGCAGGCCUGUACGUGAUGAGAAUUCAAGCUUAGGACACCUUUGGAUGCGGCGCGUGCUGCAGGUGAAAAUAGCGAGUUUGUUAUACAGUCGAUUCGUACUCUGACGGCCCGUGGUGCUGCCGGUGUACGUAGGCUUGGGUGCGCUCUGCGUUGGCGGCUGUGACGAUAACCCAGUUACGACGGCCUUAUGACUACGAUCCCGGCUAUGGGUGGAGCACAAGUGUUACGCUUGUGCAACAAGGGGCGCGCCACCGAUUUCCAGCCGGUGCGCUCUGUGUGCGAGCCGCGUGUGCGUGUGCACCUGUGUGAGCACCUGUGUGUUUAUGUGUGCGAGCCGUGCUGCAGGCCUGUACGUGAUGAGAAUUCAAGCUUAGGACACCUUUGGAUGCGGCGCGUGCUGCAGGUGAAAAUAGCGAGUUUGUUAUACAGUCGAUUCGUACUCUGACGGCCCGUGGUGCUGCCGGUGUACGUAGGCUUGGGUGCGCUCUGCGUUGGCGGCUGUGACGAUAACCCAGUUACGACGGCCUUAUGACUACGAUCCCGGCUAUGGGUGGAGCACAAGUGUUACGCUUGUGCAACAAGGGGCGCGCCACCGAUUUCCAGCCGGUGCGCUCUGUGUGCGAGCCGCGUGUGCGUGUGCACCUGUGUGAGCACCUGUGUGUUUAUGUGUGCGAGCCGUGCUGCAGGCCUGUACGUGAUGAGAAUUCAAGCUUAGGACACCUUUGGAUGCGGCGCGUGCUGCAGGUGAAAAUAGCGAGUUUGUUAUACAGUCGAUUCGUACUCUGACGGCCCGUGGUGCUGCCGGUGUACGUAGGCUUGGGUGCGCUCUGCGUUGGCGGCUGUGACGAUAACCCAGUUACGACGGCCUUAUGACUACGAUCCCGGCUAUGGGUGGAGCACAAGUGUUACGCUUGUGCAACAAGGGGCGCGCCACCGAUUUCCAGCCGGUGCGCUCUGUGUGCGAGCCGCGUGUGCGUGUGCACCUGUGUGAGCACCUGUGUGUUUAUGUGUGCGAGCCGUGCUGCAGGCCUGUACGUGAUGAGAAUUCAAGCUUAGGACACCUUUGGAUGCGGCGCGUGCUGCAGGUGAAAAUAGCGAGUUUGUUAUACAGUCGAUUCGUACUCUGACGGCCCGUGGUGCUGCCGGUGUACGUAGGCUUGGGUGCGCUCUGCGUUGGCGGCUGUGACGAUAACCCAGUUACGACGGCCUUAUGACUACGAUCCCGGCUAUGGGUGGAGCACAAGUGUUACGCUUGUGCAACAAGGGGCGCGCCACCGAUUUCCAGCCGGUGCGCUCUGUGUGCGAGCCGCGUGUGCGUGUGCACCUGUGUGAGCACCUGUGUGUUUAUGUGUGCGAGCCGUGCUGCAGGCCUGUACGUGAUGAGAAUUCAAGCUUAGGACACCUUUGGAUGCGGCGCGUGCUGCAGGUGAAAAUAGCGAGUUUGUUAUACAGUCGAUUCGUACUCUGACGGCCCGUGGUGCUGCCGGUGUACGUAGGCUUGGGUGCGCUCUGCGUUGGCGGCUGUGACGAUAACCCAGUUACGACGGCCUUAUGACUACGAUCCCGGCUAUGGGUGGAGCACAAGUGUUACGCUUGUGCAACAAGGGGCGCGCCACCGAUUUCCAGCCGGUGCGCUCUGUGUGCGAGCCGCGUGUGCGUGUGCACCUGUGUGAGCACCUGUGUGUUUAUGUGUGCGAGCCGUGCUGCAGGCCUGUACGUGAUGAGAAUUCAAGCUUAGGACACCUUUGGAUGCGGCGCGUGCUGCAGGUGAAAAUAGCGAGUUUGUUAUACAGUCGAUUCGUACUCUGACGGCCCGUGGUGCUGCCGGUGUACGUAGGCUUGGGUGCGCUCUGCGUUGGCGGCUGUGACGAUAACCCAGUUACGACGGCCUUAUGACUACGAUCCCGGCUAUGGGUGGAGCACAAGUGUUACGCUUGUGCAACAAGGGGCGCGCCACCGAUUUCCAGCCGGUGCGCUCUGUGUGCGAGCCGCGUGUGCGUGUGCACCUGUGUGAGCACCUGUGUGUUUAUGUGUGCGAGCCGUGCUGCAGGCCUGUACGUGAUGAGAAUUCAAGCUUAGGACACCUUUGGAUGCGGCGCGUGCUGCAGGUGAAAAUAGCGAGUUUGUUAUACAGUCGAUUCGUACUCUGACGGCCCGUGGUGCUGCCGGUGUACGUAGGCUUGGGUGCGCUCUGCGUUGGCGGCUGUGACGAUAACCCAGUUACGACGGCCUUAUGACUACGAUCCCGGCUAUGGGUGGAGCACAAGUGUUACGCUUGUGCAACAAGGGGCGCGCCACCGAUUUCCAGCCGGUGCGCUCUGUGUGCGAGCCGCGUGUGCGUGUGCACCUGUGUGAGCACCUGUGUGUUUAUGUGUGCGAGCCGUGCUGCAGGCCUGUACGUGAUGAGAAUUCAAGCUUAGGACACCUUUGGAUGCGGCGCGUGCUGCAGGUGAAAAUAGCGAGUUUGUUAUACAGUCGAUUCGUACUCUGACGGCCCGUGGUGUUCGACGUUUUAUGUCGAUGGGUGGUAGGAAAGCUAGGUGAUAGAGUCUUUGGCAGGUGGCCUUUAGGGCGGUUGGUUGAAGUGAAUAAGGAUGUAUUAUGUAUUUUAGGGAGGCUGAGUGGCGGCAAAAGCGGAAGUGGAAAGGGAAGAGCUGCCAUUGUGCAACCAUGAGCACUGGUGUGAACUGGGGGUUGCAGUGUGCGGACCUAAUCUAUCGAUGGCUGGCGUAGCUGCUUCUGCAGUGGCCGUUAGCACGCGCUCUCAAGCAGUGAGGGAAGUCACUCUACAGAUCUAGGCUGCGCUGCCUCUUUCGUUUUGCGGGAGUCUUCUCAUGCUCUAUUUCGUGCUUCUCGCAAUCCUUCUGCUUGGCCUGUUACCGGGGUCUCCUCCGGCAUGCGACUGCUUCGUUGUCGGUGCAUAAUGCACUCGCGCGUCGUGGAG